GUGACUUUUUUUUAUUACCUUUUUUCUUUUUAGAUUUUCUUCCCGGUUUUGUUGGCACCCCUUUCUGUAUAGCAGUGUGACACACGCACUGAUGCUCGUGGUCCCUCGUCCCACACCUCCACAAUUGUCUGUGAUCACCAUGCUCCUUAUUGUCCUCUUCUCACCUCUGCGUGCUGGUUCUAAUUGGAUCCCCUUGUCAAGAGGAUACAGCUCUAAUUAUCCUAUAUCUAAAUCGCCCUUGUGGGACAUUGUGAUUUGUGAUGUCCAGCUAUUCAGUAUUAUGUCAAUUAUACCAGAAUGGUAGCAUUACUCUUUGGAUUGAAGCAAUAGAACAGGUACUGGCAAUACAAAGUACAUCUUCCCUGGCAAAUACUGCUGAAGAAUACCUAUGUCCUUCUUUGGGAAGUAUCAGAAAUACUGAAGCAAGAAUUAGCAAUCUCUCAGCUUGUUGAGGUUUUGUGAUGAAACUCAAGCCUUUAACAGGGAAAGUUUAGAAGUGGCAAAAAAUGUAUUUUGGCAUCUUUUAUGGAGAUAUCCCAUGGAAGGUGCUAAAGUACACCUGCAAAGGCACACCUG
rnacentral:lncRNA from 1 species